rnacentral:rRNA from 2 species
GGUUAAGCGACUAAGCGUACACGGUGGAUGCCCUGGCAGUCAGAGGCGAUGAAGGACGUGCUAAUCUGCGAAAAGCGUCGGUAAGGUGAUAUGAACCGUUAUAACCGGCGAUGUCCGAAUGGGGAAACCCAGUGCAAUUCGUUGCACUAUCGUUAACUGAAUACAUAGGUUAACGAGGCGAACCGGGGGAACUGAAACAUCUAAGUACCCCGAGGAAAAGAAAUCAACCGAGAUUCCCCCAGUAGCGGCGAGCGAACGGGGAGCAGCCCAGAGUCUGAAUCAGCUUGUGUGUUAGUGGAACGGUCUGGAAAGUCCGACGGUACAGGGUGAUAGUCCCGUACACCAAAAUGCACAGGCUGUGAACUCGAAGAGUAGGGCGGGACACGUGGUAUCCUGUCUGAAUAUGGGGGGACCAUCCUCCAAGGCUAAAUACUCCUGACUGACCGAUAGUGAACCAGUACCGUGAGGGAAAGGCGAAAAGAACCCCGGCGAGGGGAGUGAAAAAGAACCUGAAACCGUGUACGUACAAGCAGUGGGAGCACCUUCGGGUGUGACUGCGUACCUUUUGUAUAAUGGGUCAGCGACUUAUAUUCUGUAGCAAGGUUAACCGUAUAGGGGAGCCGCAGGGAAACCGAGUCUUAACUGGGCGUUAAGUUGCAGGGUAUAGACCCGAAACCCGGUGAUCUAGCCAUGGGCAGGUUGAAGGUUGGGUAACACUAACUGGAGGACCGAACCGACUAAUGUUGAAAAAUUAGCGGAUGACUUGUGGCUGGGGGUGAAAGGCCAAUCAAACCGGGAGAUAGCUGGUUCUCCCCGAAAGCUAUUUAGGUAGCGCCUCGUGAAUUCAUCUUCGGGGGUAGAGCACUGUUUCGGCUAGGGGGUCAUCCCGACUUACCAACCCGAUGCAAACUACGAAUACCGAAGAAUGUUAUCACGGGAGACACACGGCGGGUGCUAACGUCCGUCGUGAAGAGGGAAACAACCCAGACCGCCAGCUAAGGUCCCAAAGUCAUGGUUAAGUGGGAAACGAUGUGGGAAGGCACAGACAGCCAGGAUGUUGGCUUAGAAGCAGCCAUCAUUUAAAGAAAGCGUAAUAGCUCACUGGUCGAGUCGGCCUGCGCGGAAGAUGUAACGGGGCUAAACCAUGCACCGAAGCUGCGGCAGCGACACUAUGUGUUGUUGGGUAGGGGAGCGUUCUGUAAGCCUGCGAAGGUGUGCUGUGAGGCAUGCUGGAGGUAUCAGAAGUGCGAAUGCUGACAUAAGUAACGAUAAAGCGGGUGAAAAGCCCGCUCGCCGGAAGACCAAGGGUUCCUGUCCAACGUUAAUCGGGGCAGGGUGAGUCGACCCCUAAGGCGAGGCCGAAAGGCGUAGUCGAUGGGAAACAGGUUAAUAUUCCUGUACUUGGUGUUACUGCGAAGGGGGGACGGAGAAGGCUAUGUUAGCCGGGCGACGGUUGUCCCGGUUUAAGCAUGUAGGCUGAUUGUCCAGGCAAAUCCGGAUAAUCAAGGCUGAGGUGUGAUGACGAGGCACUACGGUGCUGAAGUAACAAAUGCCCUGCUUCCAGGAAAAGCCUCUAAGCAUCAGGUAACAUCAAAUCGUACCCCAAACCGACACAGGUGGUCAGGUAGAGAAUACCAAGGCGCUUGAGAGAACUCGGGUGAAGGAACUAGGCAAAAUGGUGCCGUAACUUCGGGAGAAGGCACGCUGGUGUGUAGGUGAAGUCCCUGCGGAUGGAGCUGAGACCAGUCGAAGAUACCAGCUGGCUGCAACUGUUUAUUAAAAACACAGCACUGUGCAAACACGAAAGUGGACGUAUACGGUGUGACGCCUGCCCGGUGCCGGAAGGUUAAUUGAUGGGGUUAUCCGUAAGGAGAAGCUCUUGAUCGAAGCCCCGGUAAACGGCGGCCGUAACUAUAACGGUCCUAAGGUAGCGAAAUUCCUUGUCGGGUAAGUUCCGACCUGCACGAAUGGCGUAAUGAUGGCCAGGCUGUCUCCACCCGAGACUCAGUGAAAUUGAACUCGCUGUGAAGAUGCAGUGUACCCGCGGCAAGACGGAAAGACCCCGUGAACCUUUACUAUAGCUUGACACUGAACAUUGAGCCUUGAUGUGUAGGAUAGGUGGGAGGCUUUGAAGCGUGGACGCCAGUCUGCGUGGAGCCAACCUUGAAAUACCACCCUUUAAUGUUUGAUGUUCUAACGUUGGCCCCUUACCGGGGUUGCGGACAGUGUCUGGUGGGUAGUUUGACUGGGGCGGUCUCCUCCCAAAGCGUAACGGAGGAGCACGAAGGUUAGCUAAUCCUGGUCGGACAUCAGGAGGUUAGUGCAAUGGCAUAAGCUAGCUUGACUGCGAGCGUGACGGCGCGAGCAGGUGCGAAAGCAGGUCAUAGUGAUCCGGUGGUUCUGAAUGGAAGGGCCAUCGCUCAACGGAUAAAAGGUACUCCGGGGAUAACAGGCUGAUACCGCCCAAGAGUUCAUAUCGACGGCGGUGUUUGGCACCUCGAUGUCGGCUCAUCACAUCCUGGGGCUGAAGUAGGUCCCAAGGGUAUGGCUGUUCGCCAUUUAAAGUGGUACGCGAGCUGGGUUUAGAACGUCGUGAGACAGUUCGGUCCCUAUCUGCCGUGGGCGCUGGAGAAUUGAGGGGGGCUGCUCCUAGUACGAGAGGACCGGAGUGGACGCAUCACUGGUGUUCGGGUUGUCAUGCCAAUGGCACUGCCCGGUAGCUAAAUGCGGAAGAGAUAAGUGCUGAAAGCAUCUAAGCACGAAACUUGCCCCGAGAUGAGUUCUCCCUGAGACUUUAAGUCUCCUGAAGGAACGUUAAAGACGAUGACGUUGAUAGGCCGGGUGUGUAAGCGCAGCGAUGCGUUGAGCUAACCGGUACUAAUGAACCGUGAGGCUUAACCUU